rnacentral:rRNA from 1 species
GGGCUUGUUUUGGAUGGUUUGACGUGAGAGAUGCGAAUAUUUAGUAUUAUUUGAUUUGGUGUUAGGGAUACAGAAUUCCUAAAUGUUUAAUAAGACGGAAAGACCCUGGGAUCUUUUUUUUUCGCUUGGGGCAAGUUUCAUUAUUUCAAUGAAAUUAGGAUCUUAAGUAUAGAUUAUUGGGUUAAGUUACCCCAGGGAUAACAGUGUGAUAAUUAAUAAGAGAUCUUAUCGAAUUAAUUGUUUGCCACCUCGAUGUUGACUUAGGUUAGAAUUUAGGUGGUAGUAGC